rnacentral:rRNA from 1 species
GACGAACGCUGGCGGCGUGCCUAACACAUGCAAGUCGAACGGAACUGUUUUGAAAGCUUUCUUCGGAAUGAAUUUGAUUUAGUUUAGUGGCGGACGGGUGAGUAACGCGUGAGUAACCUGCCUUCAAGAGGGGAAUAACAUUCUGAAAAGAAUGCUAAUACCGCAUGACAUAUCGCAACCACAUGGUUUUGAUAUCAAAGAUUUUAUCGCUUGAAGAUGGACUCGCGUCCGAUUAGUUAGUUGGUGAGGUAACGGCUCACCAAGACCGCGAUCGGUAGCCGGACUGAGAGGUUGAACGGCCACAUUGGGACUGAGACACGGCCCAGACUCCUACGGGAGGCAGCAGUGGGGGAUAUUGCGCAAUGGGGGCAACCCUGACGCAGCAACGCCGCGUGAAGGAUGAAGGUUUUCGGAUUGUAAACUUCUUUUAUUAAGGACGAAAAUGACGGUACUUAAUGAAUAAGCUCCGGCUAACUACGUG